rnacentral:rRNA from 1 species
UACGUAGGUCCCGAGCGUUGUCCGGAUUUAUUGGGCGUAAAGCGAGCGCAGGUGGUUUAUUAAGUCUGGUGUAAAAGGCAGUGGCUCAACCAUUGUAUGCAUUGGAAACUGGUAGACUUGAGUGCAGGAGAGGAGAGUGGAAUGCCAUGUGUAGCGGUGAAAUGCGUAGAUAUAUGGAGGAACACCGGUGGCGAAAGCGGCUCUCUGGCCUGUAACUGACACUGAGGCUCGAAAGCGUGGGGAGCAAACAGG